CCUACGGGAGGCAGCAGUUGGGAAUCUUUCACAAUGGGCGAAAGCCUGAUGGAGCAACGUAGCGUGCAGGAUGAAGGCCCUCGGGUUGUAAACUGCUUUUAUAAGCGAGAAAUAUGAUGGUAACUUAUGAAUAAGGAUCGGCUAACUACGUGCCAGCAGCCGCGGUCAUACGUAGGAUCCGAGGAUUAUCCGGAGUGACUGGGUGUAAAGAGUUGCGUAGGUGGCAUAAUAAGUAGCUAGUGGAAUCUGGUGGCUCAACCAUUCAGACUAUUAGCUAUACUGUUAAGCUCGAGACCGUUAGAGGUAACUGGAAUUUCUGGUGUAGGAGUGAAAUGCGUAGAUAUUAGAAGGAACACCAAUAGCGUAGGCAGGUUGCUGGGACGGUUCUGACACUAAGGCACGAAAGCGUAGGGAGCAAACGGGAUUAGAUACCCGGGUAGUC
rnacentral:rRNA from 1 species